rnacentral:rRNA from 1 species
GACGAACGCUGGCGGCGUGCUUAACACAUGCAAGUCGAACGGAAAGACCCUGCUUUUGUGGGGUGCUCGAGUGGCGAACGGGUGAGUAACACGUGAGUAACCUGCCCUUGACUUUGGGAUAACUUCAGGAAACUGGGUCUAAUACCGGAUAGGAGCUCCUGCUGCAUGGUGGGGGUUGGAAAGUUUCGGCGGUUGGGGAUGGACUCGCGGCUUAUCAGCUUGUUGGUGGGGUAGUGGCUUACCAAGGCUUUGACGGGUAGCCGGCCUGAGAGGGUGACCGGCCACAUUGGGACUGAGAUACGGCACAGACUCGUACGGGAGGCAGCAGUGGGGAAUAUUGCACAAUGGGCGGAAGCCUGAUGCAGCAACGCCGCGUGCGGGAUGACGGCCUUCGGGUUGUAAACCGCUUUCGCCUGUGACGAAGCGUGAGUGACGGUAAUGGGUAAAGAAGCACCGGCUAACUACGUG